rnacentral:pre_miRNA from 1 species
GAUCAAAAGCAGGCAGCAAGAGGAAAUGGAAAUUUUUGGGUGAGAGGUUGCCGGAAAGAAUACAUAAUAUUCAUACAAGUUUUGAUAUUAAACUCUUUCCGAAACCUCCCAUUCCAAUGAUUUCCAGCUAUUCCUUUCUCUUCUCCAACCUA